AGUAACACGUGGGUAACCUACCUAUAAGACUGGAAUAACUUCGGGAAACCGGAGCUAAUGCCGGAUAACAUUUGGAACCGCAUGGUUCUAAAGUAAAAGAUGGUUUUGCUAUCACUUAUAGAUGGACCCGCGCCGUAUUAGCUAGUUGGUAAGGUAACGGCUUACCAAGGCAACGAUACGUAGCCGACCUGAGAGGGUGAUCGGCCACACUGGAACUGAGACACGGUCCAGACUCCUACGGGAGGCAGCAGUAGGGAAUCUUCCGCAAUGGACGAAAGUCUGACGGAGCAACGCCGCGUGAGUGAUGAAGGUUUUCGGAUCGUAAAACUCUGUUAUUAGGGAAGAACAAAUGUGUAAGUAACUGUGCACAUCUUGACGGUACCUAAUCAGAAAGCCACGGCUAACUACGUGCCAGCAGCCGCGGUAAUACGUAGGUGGCAAGCGUUAUCCGGAAUUAUUGGGCGUAAAGCGCGCGUAGGCGGUUUCUUAAGUCUGAUGUGAAAGCCCACGGCUCAACCGUGGAGGGUCAUUGGAAACUGGGAAACUUGAGUACAGAAGAGGAAAGUGGAAUUCCAUGUGUAGCGGUGAAAUGCGCAGAGAUAUGGAGGAACACCAGUGGCGAAGGCGACUUUCUGGUCUGUAACUGACGCUGAUGUGCGAAAGCGUGGGGAUCAAACAGGAUUA
rnacentral:rRNA from 1 species